ACCAAACAAUGCUCGGCGAUCGCGGCAGCUGCUCUCCAAAUGUCAGCGCCAAGCCCGGCCAAAGGGCUGGAAGGCCACCGAGCCCAGGACUUUGUGCGCUACCUUUGUCGCCCACAUUUUCCCCAAGCACUCUCAGGACCCUGGCAACAGGUAACGUGGCAACCUUUGCCUUCUAAAACGGCAAGCGGCAGGAUUUCAGAGAACAAAAGGAUUUUUUGAAAGCCAGCUGCAUCUCCCUCGCCACCCCCUCCCCCGCCCUCUCCCCCCGCCCUCCCCCUUCGCCACUCCAAGUCUGAGAAAACAAAGUAUUGCUGCGGCAGCCUGGCUCUCGAGCGUCCCCUGGUGACCAAGCUCGGAACAUCACCGAGGUACCUUUCAAGGUACAACUUCAGUCCGAGGCUCCCAGAACAAGCCCCGCACUGCCUCCUGGUGUGGAUUACACUUUACUUUUCGAAAGGAACCAUGGAGAGUAAAGCGAAAUCAUUUUGAUUCUUUUGGAUUUCUACUGUCGUAGGUGAAAGGUUUUAUUCAUCAAUUCUUUGAAAAACCAGCUAUACCCACUGCAAACCUACCAAAUGAGAGGAUGUUAAGCUGUUCAGUGGGUUGUACGUUUGGGGCCUUGUUUGGAAUUUCAAGCUCAUGUUAUGGGACUGGCCCGUGGUUGCAAUUUACACCGUUUAUCAGUAGGAUUGCUGAAGUGCUGAAGUGCUGAGGUGCCGGAAUGCGGAAACACUGGAGGAGACCCGCGCUGGUCUUUGGAUCAACAUUAAUUACCAAUAAAGAGUUAGGAAAUUGAUCACAGGGAAGGGAAGCAUGUUAAUGGCCACCGCUCAAAGGUUCAGCCCCGUUCAGUUACUGAUAACCUUGCCACGUCUCCAGAUAAAAGCCAGCCUUGUCACCCCCAGGCACCUGGCUGAGAGGUAAUAAAACUGUUGCCUUAUCUUCUAAGAGUGGAGUUGGUCCAACCUCAGUCCGAGGUAAUUACAGUAAACUGAAAUUGCCUGUCAUUUACAAAAAAGGGAAGGCGUAAGGCGGGAGAUGGUGUUUGUCUCUCUCCUUGGAUUUUAAAAAGAAAGCAAGCAAAACAGCCAGAAGUUUUCCAGGGAGUGAGAAAAACAGCCCGGCUUGGCCACCCUCUUCUGGGGGUAACGGAUUGCAGGCGGCUCAGGUCCCCGAGACGAUCUGAAAGAGAGGCUCACGCUGAUGAAAAUCCAAGCAAUCUUCUUAGUCUGUCCUUUCUAAAUGUAAAUGACAGAGUCGGAGCCCUGCUAGGGAGGGCAGGAAGUCUCAGUCUUACCCAGUGACUCAUUCAGUGCUGUUAGCUCCAGAAGCUGGAUAAAAAGUUUUAGCAAAAGCAGCAACAAAUCUACUUUAAAUACUAGCACAGUAAGGAAAUUCCUCUCUUUCAGGCCGAAUGCCAUCCACACAAUAGAGCUCCUGUCGACAUCUCAUUUACAAUCUACCCCCAGGACACAGACAGGACCAUUUCCAUAAACCCGGCUCAGAAACACCUAUUGUUCAAAAUCUUCAACUAGCCACAGGCUACCACCACUCCCUAUUGUUUUGUAAAAUAAAAGAUUUAGAAGGAGCCAGAUUGGGACCUGGAAGCUCUGAAAAGAGGAAGGAAAAAAGUCCCUUUGACCCGAUGCUGUUGGAGAACGUGCGUGAAGAAUAAAGUUAAUGGAUUUUCAUUUUUACAAGAAGUGCAUAAGCAACGCCCGCUCCCUUCCUGAACUCGUGAUCGGGGAUUCUAAAAGCAGUGCCAACGGGUUUGGUACCUGAAAAGUCAAAGGCUCUACUUACCCUAUUCUCUGUCUUACAAAAGCCCUGAUGGCAGCCACAGCAAAGCACCAGGCCUCUCACCGUUGUGGCCUCUCCCGUUGCGGAGCACAGGCUCCGGACGCGCAGGCUCAGCGGCCAUGGCUCACGGGCCCAGCCGCUCCGCGGCAUGUGGGAUCUUCCCGGACUGGGGCACGAACCCGUGUCCCCUGCAUCGGCAGGCAGAUUCUUAACCACUGCGCCACCAGGGAAGUGCACUCUAAUUUUAUUUUUAAAAAUUUGACUUAUUGAUUUGCGUAUUGAUCUGCUUGGCCUGGCACUUAUGCAAUGACUUUACAGAUGCUAAGCGUCCUUCCUGGCUUGGAAAACUCCUGUUCAUGCGUCAAGAUUCACUUCAUCUGUGUUCUGUGAGCCCCUCCUACAUGUUUCCUAUAGAAUUCAUCACACUUUGCUCGUUCCUCUUACACUGAUGCUCUGGUAUGAAAGCACAGGGAAAUUAGUGAUCAGGUAGAUCUUUGUUUCCUGUUAUACUUAUUUGUUGGAUUAAAUGAUUCUGUAUGGCAAAUGCUAUCAUACAAGGUCUCACCAAACCAGACUGUCUGUAUUUCAAACAGGUGCUCAGCCGUGGUGGCCCGGUGGUGUCUGGAAAAGGCAGUGCCUUGAAGGCAACCAGACCUGGUCAAAUCCUGACCUGCCACUUACUGGCUGCAGGACCUCAGAUGACUCAGCUCUCAUCCCUUUUCCUCAUCUGUUGAGUUUGGGUAACAGCCUCGGUGACCUCAUAGUGUCAUGAGACGGAUGAUGUAGUUAAUAUGAUGUAAGGGGACGUGGUGUGGCACUUAAUAUCUCAAACACAGGAAGGAGGCUCUCUUCCUUCCUUCCUGCAUUAUUUGUUACAACAAAAUGCCAAUAAUACAAAAACCAUCUUGAAAACUCCCGAGGAGAUUUCACUGGAGGUGGGGAGACCCUAUCCUUUCCCCAUGUUGGGGUUUCUACAGCACGAAGAGCCCUACGCAGAAGUUGCGUGUUGAGAGCACAUUUUAAGAUGCCUGUCCCUAGUGCUGAAUGUUAAAAUUUCAUCUCAUCUCUCUGGCCUCAGCUCAUAAAUCCUCUCCUUAGAGAGGCCUUCCUUCACCACCCAGCUUCGAGCAGCCCCACAUUCUGCCCUCCCAGCCGUGGAGCCACCUACUGAGAGGAGGAGAUGUGGGGAGAAAAGAAAAGGGCCUAAAAGGGCUUGCAUCUUUCCUAAGUGCAAGCCCUCCCCUCGGGUUGGGAGUUGUGGCUUGCUUGGUCCGUCUUUAUCAGCUUUGUGCCAUUGUACCCCAUCCCACCCUCUGCAGCCCCCAUCUCCUUAAAUCACACAGAUGACAGGCCCCAGCCUCUGCUGUCUUGUAUCUUGGAAAAUGCAGAAAUUGCCAUGAACUUCUGCGGUCUUGGGGGGUGGUUCCCUGUCAGUGGUUUAAAACUUGUCUUCCUGCUUUCUGUAUUACCACUCAGUUCAGAAGAGACAAAAACAAACCCAAAACAUUUUCAAGUAUGUUCUGCUUUGCCCUCAUGGUCAACGCUAAUAACUUCCAGCUAGAGGGGGCUGGAGGGCAGGAUGUGAAUGGGACCAGCUCACUCUGUUUCAGUUCAAGUACUUGAGAAUUUAAAAGCACAGACCCUCUCCAAGCACUGCUUAAGGCCUGUCAACUAAAUCUUCCUAGUUUGCCAAAGUGACUAGGUAGGAUACUAGCCCUAAAAUGAUGCACUUAAAUUACUAAAAACCUAUCAAGCAAACAGCAAUAAGUUUGCUUUCCAUGCCUGAGAGGCAGUAAUGCAUGAUAUUUCAGAAUAUACGUUUUGGAGGCAGACCUAGGGAGGUCUGUUUAAUCUGUUUAAACAUCAGUUUUUUACUAUGUGAAAUGGGAAUAGUAACCCUUGCUGGGUUGGUGGGAGGAUGAAACGAAGUAAUAUCUGAGAAAUGCUCAGACUAUUACCUGACACAUCGUAAGUGCUCAAUAAAUAGUACAUGGUAACAACAUCAACCAUUUCAUAAGGGAAAUCCCUUUGUUUUGUCUUAGCAGCCAGUAAGCCGGGUGUACCCCUGCUCCUGUGCAAAAGGCCUGUGAAACUCUGAAGCUAUACUUGUACACAGAUGUGAUCCGAUGAUGCCAUCUCAUCUCCAUGGCAACCAGGUGUCUCAGUUAUCUAGUCUGGUGCCAGGGCAUCGGAGACCUGCCACCACCAUGCUGUUCUCCGUCACUCAGUUCCAAAUUUAUGAGAUUGCCUCAGUCCCUUAGGUAUUUGUUCUCUGAAAGAGUUGGAGACCCAGGUAAAGUUCAGAGCGGCUCGUAACCUGCCUGCAGCCAACGGCAUAUUCCAAAGGUGGCUAAAACUAUAUUGUCCAUCCAACAUGGUCUUCUAGAACAGGGGUCAGGAAAAUCUAUAAAGAGCUGUACAGUAAAUAUUUUUGGUUUUGCAGACCAUGCAGUCUCUGUCCCAAACAACUCAACUUUGACAUUGUGGCAAAGCCAGAGACGAUAUGUAAAGGCACGGACAUGGCUGCCUUGGGGAGGUGAGCCUGAUUUGUUCCAAGGGUCGUAAUUUGCCAAACCUGCUCUAGAACUUUGCCACUUCCCAUGGUGAGGUGGAGUCUGCUACCCCUCCCCUUGAACUUGGGGAAGUGUGUGAUUUGCUUGUGACCGAGAGAGUACGCAGGAACUGACAGUGCGUGACCUCCAGGGCUAAAUCAGAAAAGGUGAUGCUGUUUCUCCCUUAGUCCCUGGGACAUCUGCCUGCUUGGAGCCCUGAGCCACCACAGAAGCGUCCGAUUUCCCUGAGGCCACCAUGCUGUAAGGAAGCCCAAGUCAGCCUCGUGGAAAGACCCCAUGAAGAAGCCUGGAGACUCUUAGGAAGAGGGAGAGGUGUUCAGCAGCCCCCAGUGAUCCAACCCUCCACCCACCCAACUGCAAGCUCAGAAGAGACCCUGAGCCAGAACUACCCAGCCAAAGCUCUUCCCAAAUUCCUGCCCCACAGGAACAGAAAUAGUAACACGAUUGCUGUCGUUUUAAGGCACUAAACAAAAAACUUAGAACCCUGUCCCAAAACUAGUGAGUGGCAGAUAUGGGAUUCAAACCUAGGUUGGCUUGACAUUCUAUUACAUGAUCAUUAAUCAUUCUAUUAAAUGAUUGCUUACAGCAGCCUUUUUAAAAAACGGUGCUAAAAUAUAUGUAACAUAAAACUUACCAUGUUAACCAUCUUUAAGUGUACAGUUCAAUAAGUACAUUCACACG